UACGUAGGGGGCAAGCGUUGUCCGGAAUUAUUGGGCGUAAAGCGCGCGCAGGCGGUGAUUUAAGUUUGGUGUUUAAGCCCGAGGCUCAACCUCGGUUCGCAUCGAAAACUGGGUCACUUGAGUGUAGGAGAGGAAAGUGGAAUUCCACGUGUAGCGGUGAAAUGCGUAGAGAUGUGGAGGAACACCAGUGGCGAAGGCUACUUUCUGGCCUAUAACUGACGCUGAGGCGCGAAAGCGUGGGGAGCAAACAGG
rnacentral:rRNA from 1 species